rnacentral:rRNA from 1 species
GUUGAAGACGACGACGUAGAUAGGCUGGGUGUGUAAGCGUAGCGAUACGUUGAGCUAACCAGUACUAAUGACCCGAGAGGCUUAACCUUACAACACCGAAGGUGUUU